GCUGACGAGCGGCGGACGGGUGAGUAAUGCCUAGGGAUCUGCCCAGUCGAGGGGGAUAACAGUUGGAAACGACUGCUAAUACCGCAUACGCCCUACGGGGGAAAGGAGGGGACCUUCGGGCCUUUCGCGAUUGGAUGAACCUAGGUGGGAUUAGCUAGUUGGUGAGGUAAUGGCUCACCAAGGCGACGAUCCCUAGCUGUUCUGAGAGGAUGAUCAGCCACACUGGGACUGAGACACGGCCCAGACUCCUACGGGAGGCAGCAGUGGGGAAUAUUGCACAAUGGGGGAAACCCUGAUGCAGCCAUGCCGCGUGUGUGAAGAAGGCCUUCGGGUUGUAAAGCACUUUCAGUUGUGAGGAAAGGGUGUUGCUUAAUACGUAACAUCUGUGACGUUAGCAACAGAAGAAGGACCGGCUAACUCCGUGCCAGCAGCCGCGGUAAUACGGAGGGUCCGAGCGUUAAUCGGAAUUACUG
rnacentral:rRNA from 1 species